GCUUAAUACAUGCAAGUCGAACGUGAUUGUAGCAAUACAUGAAAGUGGCAAACGGGUGAGUAACACGUGGGAACCUGCCUCGGAGCGGGGGAUAACGACUGGAAACGGUCGCUAAUACCGCAUGGUUCUAUUCAAACGGGAGUUGAAUAGAUAAAGAUUUAUUACUCUGAGAGGGGCCUGCGUCCGAUUAGCUAGUUGGUGAGGUAAUGGCUCACCAAGGCGAUGAUCGGUAGCUGGUCUGAGAGGACGAUCAGCCACACGGGAACUGAGACACGGUCCCGACUCCUACGGGGGGCAGCAGUAAGGAAUAUUGGGCAAUGGGCGAAAGCCUGACCCAGCAACGCCGCGUGGAGGAUGACGGCCUUCGGGUUGUAAACUCCUUUUGUGGGGGACAAGCAAGGAUGGUACCCCAAGAAUAAGUCACGGCUAACUACGUGCCAGCAGCCGCGGUAAUACGUAGGUGACAAGCGUUAUCCGGAUUUACUGGGCGUAAAGCGCACGCAGGCGGUCGGAUAAGUCCGAUGUGAAACCUUUCAGCUUAACUGGAAGAAGUCGUUGGAUACUGUCUGACUUGAGGCGAUGAGAGGAAUGCAGAAUUCCAGGUGUAGUGGUGGAAUGCGUAGAGAUCUGGAGGAAUAUCUGUGGCGAAAGCGGCAUUCUGGCAUUUGCCUGACGCUCAUGUGCGAAAGCGUGGGGAGCGAACGGGAUUAGAUACCCCGGUAGUCCAC
rnacentral:rRNA from 1 species